rnacentral:rRNA from 1 species
GUGCCAGCCGCCGCGGUAAUACGUAGGGUGCAAGCGUUGUCCGGAAUUACUGGGUGUAAAGGGUCCGCAGGCGGGCGAGCAAGUCGGUGGUGAAAGUCUUUGGCUCAACCAAAGAAUUGCCUUCGAUACUGCUCGUCUUGAGUUCGAGAGAGGAUAAUGGAAUUCAUGGUGUAGCGGUGAAAUGCGUAGAGAUCAUGAAGAACACCAGUAGCGAAGGCGGUUAUCUGGCUCGAUACUGACGCUCAGGGACGAAAGCGUGGGUAGCAAACAGGAUUAGAUACCCUUGUAGUCC